rnacentral:tRNA from 1 species
GAGUGUAGCUCAGGGGUAGAGCAUCACCUUGCCAAGGUGGAGGCCGAGGGUUCGAAUCCCUUCACUC